UCUCUUGGGGAACCUGGGGGUUGGGGGAGGGAAGUUGGAGAAAUGAGGCCCCUCAGACUCUCUCCUUCUGACCAUGUGCUGGGGAGGAAGGGGAGUAGGGAGCAAGGGGUCCCUACUGAGGGAGGGUGACUUUUUCCAUUCCUACCUGGGAGCAUCUGGGGCUCCAGGUCUGGAAGGAUUCUCAAGAGCAUCCCAUCCAGCCUCCUUUUCCAGCCUCUUCUUGAACUCUCUGAGACAUGGGAAGCUCAGCACCUCCCUGGCCACCUGUCUCAUUGCUUCAUGCUUCCUCAUUUGGAGUCCUGAGUGGCCUUUCUUUCUUGGUACCAGGGCCCUGAGACCCCUAGGGGUACUCAGCCCACAACCAAGAAAACCUCAUAGGAUGUGGAGACAGAAGGCAGUGUCCUCCCUCCACUGGACUAACACCUACACCAGCUGGGGAAGGAGCACGCCCAAGCCAAGCCCCGACAGACCUGUCUGGUGCCCAGUGAUCCCAGCCACCAUACAAAGAAGUCCAGGCUCUCCUGCUGAAGAGGCCACAUGGAGGAGAACUGGGACACACUGGCUGAGAGCCAGCACCAACCACCAGUCCUGUGAAUGAGUCUUCUUGGAAGAGGACCCUCCAGCCCUAACGAGACUUCAGAUGAAGUAGCCCUAACCAGUGUAAUUGCAACCCACGAAAGACCCCAGGCCAGAACCACCCAGCUAAGCUGCUCCUGGAUUCCUGACUCUCAGAAACUGUGAUAUAAUCAAUGUUUGUUUCAAGCCACUUAAGUUUAGGGGUAAUUUGUUAUUCAGCAAUAGAUAACUGAUACACUUGGUCAACCUCACUGUCUGGAAUUUCACCAUUAGAGCUUCACCUAUGGGUGGGUUAAGUCACUGUCACCUCCAUGUUUCUCCCCAACCCUGAGAUAAAUAACAACUGGCUGAUGCUGAUUUGCUGACUCAGAUAACGGCUAGAGGACACCUCCAAUCUGGUUAGGGGAUGCCAUUCUGGGAAUGGUAUGUGGCCACUUAAUCAUUUUGAACCCACGCAGGACAGGGGUGGUCACCAAUGAGCCGCUUUGACAGAGUUGUAUGACUUCACAGCUUUCGUAUAUGGCAGCUUCCAGAAAAACCACCCCCUGCUUUAGCUGACAGCAAAGGGGCAGGGCUGUCAUGGGGAUGAGGGCUUGAGGAGAGCUGAGCUCUGACAGGAGUAAGGCCCAGGUUCCACAGAUCCCUGACAUUCCUGGGCUCUCUCCAUUCCUUGCCCAGUAGUGGCCAGAGCUGCAUUCAUGAGACCCCUCUUAGCAUCUUCCAACCCGUUUCAGAAUCCCCACCCUUGGCUGGCCACUGGUCAGAAGCUAGCACAGUGUGACUGUGCACAUCUUAGUGUCAUGGUAUGUAGGUGUGAGCGUGUAAGGGCACGAGGUGGGAGACAUUUGUGUGCAGAAGCAUGUGCUGGUGGGAAGCAUUCAUUUGUGCACGUGUGCAUUUGAUUUGUGGGUAUCUGGGUGGGAAGGAGUGUAUAUGCUGCUGUAUUUUUGUGUGUACCUGCGAGAGUUUUUGUAUACAUCUAUGAGAAUCAGUGUAUCUGCAUGAUGGCUUUAUUGGAGUGGGGGCCUGUGCACCUCAGUCUGUGUGCCUGUCUUUGCUGCAGUUGGGAUGCGUGUCUAUGUGU